rnacentral:rRNA from 1 species
AUUGAACGCUGGCGGCAGGCCUAACACAUGCAAGUCGAACGAGCGGCGGACGGGGGAGUAAUAUCUGGGAAAAUGCCUGAUGGAGGGGGAUACCUCCAGGAAACGGUAGCUAAUACCGCAUACCCUCAGAUGUGCCCAGAUAGGAUUAGCUGGUAGGUGUGGUAACGGCUCACCUAGGCGACGAUCCCUAGCUGGUCUGAGAGGAUGACCAGCCAAACUGUAACUGAGACACGGUCCAGACUCCUACGGGAGGCAGCAGUGGGGAAUAUUGCACAAUGGGCGCAAGCCUGAUGCAGCCAUGCCGCGUGUGUGAAGAAGGCCUUCGGGUUGUAAAGUACUUUCAGCGGGGAGGCGUUACCCGCAGAAGAAGCACCGGCUAACUCCGUGCCAGCAGCCGCGGUAAUUC